UUAAAUUGAAGAGUUUGAUCAUGGCUCAGAUUGAACGCUGGCGGCAGGCCUAACACAUGCAAGUCGAACGGUAACAGGAAGCAGCUUGCUGCUUCGCUGACGAGUGGCGGACGGGUGAGUAAUGUCUGGGAAACUGCCUGAUGGAGGGGGAUAACUACUGGAAACGGUAGCUAAUACCGCAUAACGUCGCAAGACCAAAGAGGGGGACCUUCGGGCCUCUUGCCAUCGGAUGUGCCCAGAUGGGAUUAGCUUGUUGGUGGGGUAACGGCUCACCAAGGCGACGAUCCCUAGCUGGUCUGAGAGGAUGACCAGCCACACUGGAACUGAGACACGGUCCAGACUCCUACGGGAGGCAGCAGUGGGGAAUAUUGCACAAUGGGCGCAAGCCUGAUGCAGCCAUGCCGCGUGUAUGAAGAAGGCCUUCGGGUUGUAAAGUACUUUCAGCGGGGAGGAAGGGAGUAAAGUUAAUACCUUUGCUCAUUGACGUUACCCGCAG
rnacentral:rRNA from 2 species